rnacentral:rRNA from 1 species
GACGAACGCUGGCGGCGUGCCUAACACAUGCAAGUCGAGCGAAUGAAGUUCCUUCGGGAACGGAUUUAGCGGCGGACGGGUGAGUAACACGUGGGCAACCUGCCUCAUAGAGGGGAAUAGCCUUCCGAAAGGGAGAUUAAUACCGCAUAAGAUUGUAGUACCGCAUGGUACAGCAAUUAAAGGAGUAAUCCGCUAUGAGAUGGGCCCGCGGCGCAUUAGCUAGUUGGUGAGGUAACGGCUCACCAAGGCGACGAUGCGUAGCCGACCUGAGAGGGUGAUCGGCCACAUUGGGACUGAGACACGCCCCAGACUCCUACGGGAGGCAGCAGUGGGGAAUAUUGCACAAUGGGGGAAACCCUGAUGCAGCAACGCCGCGUGAGUGAUGACGGCCUUCGGGUUGUAAAGCUCUGUCUUCAGGGACGAUAAUGACGGUACCUGAGGAGGAAGCCACGGCUAACUACGUGCCAGCAGCCGCAGUAA